UACGAAGGGGGCUAGCGUUGUUCGGAUUUACUGGGCGUAAAGCGCACGUAGGCGGAUAUUUACGUCAGAGGUGAAAUCCCAGGGCUCAACCCUGGAACUGCCUUUGAUACUGGAUAUCUUGAGUAUGGAAGAGGUGAGUGGAAUUCCGAGCGUAGAGGUAAAAUUCGUAGAUAUUCGGAGGAACACCAGUGGCGAAGGCGGCUCACUGGUACAUUACUGACGCUGAGGUGCGAAAGCGUAGGAGCAAACA
rnacentral:rRNA from 1 species